GAUGAACGCUGGCGGCGUGCCUAAUACAUGCAAGUCGAGCGAACAGACGAGGAGCUUGCUCCUUUGACGUUAGCGGCGGACGGGUGAGUAACACGUGGGUAACCUACCUAUAAGACUGGGAUAACUUCGGGAAACCGGAGCUAAUACCGGAUAAUAUUUCGAACCGCAUGGUUCGAUAGUGAAAGAUGGCUUUGCUAUCACUUAUAGAUGGACCUGCGCCGUAUUAGCUAGUUGGUAAGGUAACGGCUUACCAAGGCAACGAUACGUAGCCAACCUGAGAGGGUGAUCGGCCACACUGGAACUGAGACACGGUCCAGACUCCUACGGGAGGCAGCAGUAGGGAAUCUUCCGCAAUGGGCGAAAGCCUGACGGAGCAACGCCGCGUGAGUGAUGAAGGUCUUCGGAUCGUAAAACUCUGUUAUUAGGGAAGAAUAAACGUGUAAGUAACUGUGCACGUCUUGACGGUACCUAAUCAGAAAGCCACGGCUAACUACGUG
rnacentral:rRNA from 1 species